GGUUUAGAAGUGGCAAUGACCCUCUUGCCUGGGAUUGGGAUGACGAAGCUGAGACAGCAUGUCUGGUAACCAAGCGGGCUAUUUAGCAGGUUGGCAUGUCCAGCAGCAUCAUGGACUGGGCCCAGACCUAUACCAAGGUGACCAAUGUCUCCAACUGUUGGAUCUGCACCACCCUUCCAGCAGCAGCUGCAGACAGCUUGCCCUGGCACAUGCAUUCAGCUUCUGUGAAGAACUGGACGUGGCUAGAGACUUCGGGUCGCACGGACAAUGGGUGGGAGGCAAUAUGGUGAGCUUUGGACAGGGAGUGUCGCAAAACCCAUGGCAAGCCUGCCCCCUGGCUGACUCGAACUGUCCAUGAUGGAUAGGGCUGGCUAAUGGGAGAACACAUGGUGCCCCCAUUGUAGGUACCACGAUGUACAGACCAGCACUGGGGUAAAGUCACUGUGGGAUCGUUGCCUGCUGAGAUUUGUGCAAACAUAACAUUUGUCGCUACACCAAGGGUGUGGUGGAACAAGUGGCCAUACCAAGGCCGGGCCCCCAUGGAAUUUAUGCCUCCUGGGAGCUUAUGGUCUGUGGGGAUACCGGAUGGCCAUAUCUGCCAGUCAAAUGGACUGGACAUUGUACCUGGGGGUAGCCCUAUGUCCCUGUCACCAUGCUUCCCACAUUGCCUAAUCACCUGCAUAACUGGGAGGUGCUGUGUUCCCACUUUUUGUGAGUGCGGCAGGCCCCCAGUGGUUCUAUCCCUUAAUAAUAACUAUCACUGAAGUAGGUGUUAUUCCUGUAGAAAUGCAAGUUAUAGUCCUUGCAGAGCACACAGCUCCGGCCCUGAAUUACACCCAAGUUGCUCUCCAUUUGCUAACUAAUAAGGUUAAUCAGAUCAGGAAGGUGGUGCAGCAAAACUGUAUGGCCGCACACAUAGUUACAACUGCCCAAGGUGGCACCUGUGCCCUUGCAGGGACACAGUGUUGUACAUUUAUCCCUAACAACCACCAUAACAUAACAGCAGCCUUACAAGGGGUGUCACAGGAGAUUAAGGUGAUUGAACACCUUACCGAGGACCCCCUGCAGAGAUAGUGGGUGCCUCUGGGGCUCUGGCCUACAUUGGGCUCUAAUAAUCAUGGGUAGCACAUCAGGAAUAUUAGUGGUAGGUUGUUGCUCUCUGUGGCCUAUGGGUCCAAGGUGCUGCCCUAUGCACACAGAUCUGCACUAGAAGAACUCCCUCAGCCUAGGGGGUGGAAUGUAAGGCCUGUGGGCCAAGCCUGUUUAUCAAACUAUGUGCCCAAAACUUAUAUAUAAAGCCUGUGUGUGUAUAUCAAGCCUAUGUACCCAAAGUUUAUGUGUAUAACCUGCGUAUCCAAGGCCUAUGUCUCCCUCGGCCUAGGGGAUAGAGUGUAAGGAACAUGGCUGUGCUUUGGUCAAGCAUAGGCUGAGGUAAACAUCCAGAAUGACUCAGCGAGUUUAGAGUGCAGGCUUAUAACUUCACUUGUUAUCAUAGCCAUGUAGACAUAACAUAGAGAAGCUCACCACCAUAGCCAUAACAUAGGGAAGGCUCAUCACUUGGCUCUAAGCCACUAUUGCCUGUAAAAGGUAUAAUUUCCCUGUAGACAUUGUACAGGCAUGCUUGCACUCAGAGAAAGAGCCAGAGCUGUCCAUCUUUGCAGAUGGACAGGAAAAAGUUGGGACACAGACCUCGCUCAUGCCCAGUGAGAAAGAAAGAGUUAAGCUGCUGACCCUGAAGGGAGAGCCGGCCACACAGCUAUGUGUGGGAGCCGCUGGACUAAGCAGCUGAGACAAGGUGGAUAGUGUGAGAGAGCUAGUGUGAGUAAGCUGCUGCUGAGAGAAAUGCUGAAUAAAACUACCUUUCACCUGUUUACGGGCCCCCGAGUGCCCUUUCAGCUAUCUGCCCAUCCGCCCACUCCCCUCGAACCUCAGCGUGGGCUGGAAACUGACCCCAAAUAGGAUAUUUGGCGUAGUCAUGAAACGGCCCCUCUCCUGGCCUGCAUAACUGCCCAGACAUUCAAAAGAAAUAUGGGAAGUCAAAGGAAAGGUUGGGAUUGGUGGUGGUGGGAUGGUGUGCGUGUGUGUGUGUGGGGCGGGGGGGGGGGGGGGGGGGUCCCUUUCUAUUUCCAAACAGCCUAAAUAGGAAAAUACUUCCUUCAGUUUCACUCUUCAUAAUACUGGUUUAGUGAUGUGAAUUAAACACUAUAUAUUGUGUAGGCUGUGU
rnacentral:lncRNA from 10 species